rnacentral:rRNA from 1 species
AGCGUUGUCCGGAGUUACUGGGCGUAAAGCGCACGCAGGCGGUCUGCUAAGUUUGGAGUGACAGUUGGUGGCUUAACUGCCAAAGUGCUUCGAAAACUGACAGACUUGAGGGCUUCAGAGGGACACGGAAUUCCGGGUGGAGUGGUGAAAUGCGUAGAGAUCCGGAAGAACACCAAAGGCGAAGGCACCAUCCUGGGGAGUCACUGACGCUCGGGUGCGAAAGCCAGGGGAGCGAACGGG